rnacentral:rRNA from 1 species
ACCUGAAACCGUGUACGUACAAGCAGUGGGAGCCUCUUAAUGGGGUGACUGCGUACCUUUUGUAUAAUGGGUCAGCGACUUAUAUUCUGUAGCAAGGUUAACCGAAUAGGGGAGCCGAAGGGAAACCGAGUCUUAACUGGGCGUUAAGUUGCAGGGUAUAGACCCGAAACCCGGUGAUCUAGCCAUGGGCAGGUUGAAGGUUGGGUAACACUAACUGGAGGACCGAACCGACUAAUGUUGAAAAAUUAGCGGAUGACUUGUGGCUGGGGGUGAAAGGCCAAUCAAACCGGGAGAUAGCUGGUUCUCCCCGAAAGCUAUUUAGGUAGCGCCUCGUGAAUUCAUCUCCGGGGGUAGAGCACUGUUUCGGCAAGGGGGUCAUCCCGACUUACCAACCCGAUGCAAACUGCGAAUACCGGAGAAUGUUAUCACGGGAGACACACGGCGGGUGCUAACGUCCGUCGUGAAGAGGGAAACAACCCAGACCGCCAGCUAAGGUCCCAAAGUCAUGGUUAAGUGGGAAACGAUGUGGGAAGGCCCAGACAGCCAGGAUGUUGGCUUAGAAGCAGCCAUCAUUUAAAGAAAGCGUAAUAGCUCACUGGUCGAGUCGGCCUGCGCGGAAGAUGUAACGGGGCUAAACCAUGCACCGAAGCUGCGGCAGCGACACUAUGUGUUGUUGGGUAGGGGAGCGUUCUGUAAGCCUGUGAAGGUGGCCUGUGAGGGUUGCUGGAGGUAUCAGAAGUGCGAAUGCUGACAUAAGUAA